GGGUUGUGAGGUUAAGCGACUAAGCGUACACGGUGGAUGCCCUGGCAGUCAGAGGCGAUGAAGGGCGUGCUAAUCUGCGAUAAGCGCCGGUAAGGUGAUAUGAACCGUUAUAACCGGCGAUACCCGAAUGGGGAAACCCAGUGUGACUCGUCACACUAUCAUUAACUGAAUCCAUAGGUUAAUGAGGCGAACCGGGGGAACUGAAACAUCUAAGUACCCCGAGGAAAAGAAAUCAACCGAGAUUCCCCCAGUAGCGGCGAGCGAACGGGGAGGAGCCCAGAGCCUGAAUCAGCAUGUGUGUUAGUGGAAGCGUCUGGAAAGGCGCGCGAUACAGGGUGACAGCCCCGUACACAAAAGCGCAUGUGCUGUGAGCUCGAUGAGUAGGGCGGGACACGUGGUAUCCUGUCUGAAUAUGGGGGGACCAUCCUCCAAGGCUAAAUACUCCUGACUGACCGAUAGUGAACCAGUACCGUGAGGGAAAGGCGAAAAGAACCCCGGCGAGGGGAGUGAAAAAGAACCUGAAACCGUGUACGUACAAGCAGUGGGAGCCCCACCACUAAGCCAGUGGUGAACUCCACAUACGCAUCCUUUGCUGAGGAUACGGUUAACGGAGCGAAAGCGACGUUCAACCUCAAAAGAAGCAGAGGGGGCUUAGUGGUGGGGUGACUGCGUACCUUUUGUAUAA
rnacentral:rRNA from 1 species